rnacentral:rRNA from 1 species
UUGGUUAAGUUAGAAAGGGCGCACGGUGGAUGCCUUGGCACUAGGAGCCGAAGAAGGACGGGACUAACACCGAUAUGCUUUGGGGAGCUGUACGUAAGCGUUGAUCCAGAGAUUUCCGAAUGGGGGAACCCACUAUCUUUAGUCGGAUAGUAUCCUUACGUGAAUACAUAGCGUGAGGAAGGCAGACCCAGGGAACUGAAACAUCUAAGUACCUGGAGGAAGAGAAAGAAAAAUCGAUUUCCUGAGUAGCGGCGAGCGAAACGGAAAGAGCCCAAACCAAGAAGCUUGCUUCUUGGGGUUGUAGGACACUCUAUACGGAGUUACAAAAGAAAGUUAUAAAUGAAGCGGUCUGGAAAGGCCCGCCAAAGACGGUAACAGCCCGGUAGUUGAAAUGGCUUUCCCUCCAGAGUGGAUCCUGAGUACGGCGGAACACGUGAAAUUCCGUCGGAAUCCGGGAGGACCAUCUCCCAAGGCUAAAUACUCCCUAGUGACCGAUAGUGAACCAGUACCGUGAGGGAAAGGUGAAAAGCACCCCGGAAGGGGAGUGAAACAGUUCCUGAAACCGUGUGCCUACAAGUAGUUAGAGCCCGUUAAUGGGUGAUAGCGUGCCUUUUGUAGAAUGAACCGGCGAGUUACGAUUUGUUGCAAGGUUAAGCGGAAAAAGCGGAGCCGUAGCGAAAGCGAGUCUGAAUAGGGCGCAUAAGUAACAGGUCGUAGACCCGAAACCAGGUGAUCUACCCAUGUCCAGGAUGAAGGUAAGGUAAUACUUACUGGAGGUCCGAACCCACGCACGUUGAAAAGUGCGGGGAUGAGGUGUGGGUAGCGGAGAAAUUCCAAUCGAACUUGGAGAUAGCUGGUUCUCUCCGAAAUAGCUUUAGGGCUAGCCUCGAGGUAAAGAGUCAUGGAGGUAGAGCACUGUUUGGACUAGGGGCCCUUCUCGGGUUACCGAAUUCAGAUAAACUCCGAAUGCCAUGUACUUAUACUCGGGAGUCAGACUGCGAGUGAUAAGAUCCGUAGUCGAAAGGGAAACAGCCCAGACCACCAGUUAAGGUCCCCAAAUAUAUGUUAAGUGGAAAAGGAUGUGGGGUUGCUUAGACAACCAGGAUGUUGGCUUAGAAGCAGCCACCAUUGAAAGAGUGCGUAAUAGCUCACUGGUCGAGUGACCCCGCGCCGAAAAUGUACCGGGGCUAAACAUAUUACCGAAACUGUGGAUGAACCUCUUUAGAGGUUCGUGGUAGGAGAGCGUUCUAAGGGCGGUGAAGUCAGACCGGAAGGACUGGUGGAGCGCUUAGAAGUGAGAAUGCCGGUAUGAGUAGCGAAAGAAGGGUGAGAAUCCCUUCCACCGAAUAUCUAAGGUUUCCUGAGGAAGGCUCGUCCGCUCAGGGUUAGUCGGGACCUAAGCCGAGGCCGAUAGGCGUAGGCGAUGGACAACAGGUAGAGAUUCCUGUACCAGUGCUAAUUGUUUAACCGAUGGGGUGACACAGAAGGAUAGGGAAUCGCACGAAUGGAAAUGUGCGUCCAAGCAGUGAGUGUGAGAAGUAGGCAAAUCCGCUUCUCGCGAAGCAUGAGCUGUGAUGGGGAAGGAAAUUAAGUACGGAAGUUCCUGAUUUCACGCUGUCAAGAAAAGCCUCUAGGAAGAGUAGUACUGCCCGUACCGCAAACCGACACAGGUAGAUGAGGAGAGAAUCCUAAGGUGAGCGAGAGAACUCUCGUUAAGGAACUCGGCAAAAUGACCCCGUAACUUCGGGAGAAGGGGUGCUCUAUUAGGGUGCAAGCCCGAGAGAGCCGCAGUGAAUAGGCCCAGGCGACUGUUUAGCAAAAACACAGGUCUCUGCAAAACCGUAAGGUGACGUAUAGGGGCUGACGCCUGCCCGGUGCUGGAAGGUUAAGAGGAGUGCUUAGCUUCGGCGAAGGUACGAAUUGAAGCCCCAGUAAACGGCGGCCGUAACUAUAACGGUCCUAAGGUAGCGAAAUUCCUUGUCGGGUAAGUUCCGACCCGCACGAAAGGCGCAACGAUCUGGGCACUGUCUCAACGAGAGACUCGGUGAAAUUAUAGUACCUGUGAAGAUGCAGGUUACCCGCGACAGGACGGAAAG